GGCGAUCAGAUACCGCCCUAGUUCUAACCGUAAACGAUGACAACCAGCGAUUAGUCGGCGUUAAUCUACGACCCGACUAGCAGCUUCCGGGAAACCAAAGUUUUUCGUUUCCGGGGGAAGUAUGGUUGCAAAGCUGAAACUUAAAGGAAUUGACGGAAGGGCACCACCAGGAGUGGAGCCUGCGGCUUAAUUUGACUCAACACGGGAAAACUCACCCGGCCCGGACACCGUAAGGAUUGACAGACUGAGAGCUCUUUCUUAAUUCGGUGGGUGGUGGUGCAUGGCCGUUCUUAGUUGGUGGAGCGAUUUGUCUGGUUAAUUCCGAUAACGAACGAGACUCUGGCCUAUUAAAUAGACGGCGUAUCGAAAAGUACGCCGAGCUUCUUAGAGGGACAAGCGGCGUCUAGCCGCAUGAAAUAGAGCAAUAACAGGUCUGUGAUGCCCUUAGAUGUCCGGGGCUGCACGCGCGCUACACUGAAAGAAUCAGCGUGCGAUUCUCGCCUGGUCCGGAAGGAUCGGGUAACCCGAGUAAAUUCUUUCGUGCUUGGGAUAGGGAAUUGCAAUUAUUUCCCUUAAACGAGGAAUUCCCAGUAAGUGCGGGUCAUAAGCUCGCGUUGAUUACGUCCCUGCCCUUUGUA
rnacentral:rRNA from 1 species